GACGAACGCUGGCGGCGUGCUUAACACAUGCAAGUCGAGCGGAAAGGCCCUUCGGGGUACUCGAGCGGCGAACGGGUGAGUAACACGUGAGCAACCUGCCCCUGGCUCUGGGAUAGCCUCCGGAAACGGGGAUUAAUACCGGACAUUCACUUCCUUCCGCAUGGUUGGUGGUGGAAAGUUUUUCGGCCAGGGAGGGGCUCGCGGUCUAUCAGCUUGUUGGCGGGGUAACGGCCCACCAAGGCGACGACGGAUAGCCGGCCUGAGAGGGCG
rnacentral:rRNA from 1 species